rnacentral:rRNA from 1 species
UGACCUCGGAUCCAGGUUAGGAAC